rnacentral:rRNA from 1 species
GACAGAGGAUGCAAGCGUUAUCCGGAAUGAUUGGGCGUAAAGCGUCUGUAGGUGGCUUUUCAAGUCCGCCGUUAAAUCCCAGGGCUCAACCCUGGACAGGCGGUGGAAACUACCAAGCUGGAGUACGGUAGGGGCAGAGGGCUCGUAGAGCCGGUGGAGCGGUGAAAUGCGUAGAGAUCGGAAAGACACCAAUAGCGAAAGCACUCUGCUGGGCCGACACUGACACUGAGAGACGAAAGCUAGGGAGCAAACGGG